GCCGGGCAUGGUGGCUCAUGCCUAUAAUCCUAGCACUUUGGGAGGCUGAGGCGGGUGGAUCACCUGAGGUCAGGAGUUCAAGACCAGCCUGGCCAACAUGGUGAAACCCCGCCUCUA
ensembl:misc_RNA Metazoa_SRP Metazoan signal recognition particle RNA